GCCGCCUUAGCUCAGUGGUAGAGCAGCUGUUUUGUAAACAGCCGGUCGGAGGUUCAAAUCCCUCAGGCGGCUCCA
rnacentral:tRNA from 28 species